GAGAGAGACAGAGGGAGGAGAGAGGGAGGAUAUUAGGAGGAGAGAGACAGAGAGGGAGGAUAUUAGGAGGAGAGAGACAGAGAGGGAGGAUAUUAGGAGGAGAGAGACCACUCCAAGGUCUGGGAAUGGGGAAGUAGAUGUGUCUCUACCACUCCAAGGUCUGGGAAUGGGGAAGUAGAUGUGUCUACCACUCCAAGGUCUGGGAAUGGGGAAGUAGAUGUGUCUACCACUCCAAGGUCUGGAAAUGGGGAAGUAGAUGUGUCUACCACUCCAAGGUCUGGGAAUGGGGAAGUAGAUGUGUCUACCACUCCAAGGUCUGGGAAUGGGGAAGUAGAUGUGUGUGUGUGGGAAGGUCUAAGCAUCAUAGAAAUUGUGUUACUAGAUCCGUACAGUAAAUCCUCUGUGUUUCUCCGGGUAAAUGUGACCAGUCCUGUGUGUGUGCCCUGAAUGGCACCCUGACCCCUCCAUAGUGCCCUCUGGACUGGAGCCGUAUGGGCCCUGGUCAAGUAGUGUAAAACAGAGACAAUAGGCUGCUAUUUAGGACACAGUCCUGGGAACCUUGUACAGUAUUAUGGCUGCUCACUCACACUGUGUGUGUGUGUGUGUAUAUAACACACUUGCUGUAUUAUCAUAUAAUUUCAGCUGUUUGUGAAUGUGAUAUUAGGAACCGUAAUGUUUAGAAGGAUCUUGACGGAGUAGAAGUGUUUUGUUACUAAAGGUAUUGAGUUACAAUGUGGACGGAUGGAAGACAGACAGACCGAGAGACAGACCGAGAGACAGACAUGAAGUCAGAGAGACAUGAAGUCAGACAGACAUGAAAACAGACAGAGAGACAUGAAGUCAGACAGAGAGACAUGAAGUCAGACAGAGAGACAUGAAGUCAGACAGAGAGACAGA
ensembl:lncRNA